GGCCAUAUCACAAAGCACCAGUUCUUGUACAAUCACCAAAGUUAAGCAAUGCCAAUCCUGCUUAGUACCUAGGUGGGUGACCACUUGGGAGAACCCGGUACUGUAAG